rnacentral:lncRNA from 1 species
UCAGUGGAUGUUUUCCUCUUCCUUUUUGAAGCCAAACACCCAGGAGAUCGCCUUUGGGUGAGUCUGAACGGGAUUGCUGGGAGGUCGAUCCUUUCUAUCUUCCAGCAAUCUUAUAAGGAUUGGAAAGGGAAGUUCAUUCAAAUACGCCAAAACGACCAGGAUGCCUCGAUGCUCGACGGGUUUCCCUUGUACUGGGUAAACAAGGGAAACAAAGACGCCAAGGGAAGCUUCAGGAGGCCAAG